CUUCUUCAAGGUAGUAGCGAACAUGUGGCACUUGGCUGCAUCAGAGUGGCCAUAAUACGUCAUCAACCUGUCAUACCCAUCAGAAUGAUCGUAGGGAUCCCCUAGCCCGUCAUAAGUCUCCAUCGGGGGCAUCUUCCUUUUGUGGUCCGCUAUCUCCUGAUUAAUUUCCGGCGAGAAGGGCGACCCUAUAUAGGUCGAGGGCGUUCCGAUCGGGCU
rnacentral:lncRNA from 1 species